rnacentral:tRNA from 1 species
GGGGUUGUGGCUCAGUGGUAGAGCACUUGCCUAGCAUGUGCAAGACCCUGGGUUCAAUCCUCAACACCA